rnacentral:lncRNA from 1 species
CUCUAAUGGAUCCUCCUCCUAUUGCCGUAGUCCUCUUUAAAUAGGGCUCCUCUCAGCAUCCAAAAUAUAAAGAAAUAGUGUGAAAUCAGCAUCCAAACCAUGUGGAACGUCAUAGCCCUUCGAUCAGGAUUAAACAGCUUCAAAAUGUCUCAAAAUCAGCUUAGAUCAGGUCGAAAACCACCGCAACCAUCGAAUCUUAGCUCAAAUUGACUAUCAUCUGUC